AUACGGAGGGUGCAAGCGUUGUUCGGAUUUAUUGGGCGUAAAGCGAGUGUAGGCGGUUUGACAAGUCGAAUGUGAAAUCCCGAGGCCCAACCUCGGAACUGCAUCCGAAACUGUCAGGCUAGAGUCCCGGAGAGGAUGGCGGAAUUCCCGGUGUAGGGGUGAAAUCCGUAGAUAUCGGGAGGAACACCAGUGGCGAAGGCGGCCAUCUGGACGGUGUCUGACGCUGAGACUCGAAAGUGUGGGUAGCAAACAGGAUUAGAAUCCCUAGUAGUCC
rnacentral:rRNA from 1 species